rnacentral:lncRNA from 1 species
ACUAGUGGUCAGGCAAGCAUGCCACACCAGUGCAUCUUAUCUUGGUUUUAAUGAAUGGACACCUUUCUGGGAAGGGAGAACUUCAUAAGCACUGAAACAAGUGCUGAUGUAGAAAGUGCAGCAAGUUAUCCAGAAGAUGAGCUAAGGCUCAUUGAUGAAGGUGAUAAGGAUGAUCUCACCAAGAAUAUAUAGCAAUUAUAAACAUAUAUGUACCGAACAUCAGGGCUCCAAAAUAUAUGAAGCCACAUUGACAGAAUUGAAGGAAGAAACAGCUCUAGAAUAAUUGUAAGAGACUUUAAGAUGCCGCUUGCAAAACUGAUAGUGUCCAGCUCUCAGCAAAGAAGGUAGCGCAUUUUUUUUUUUUUUUUUUUUUUUUUUUUAGACAGAGUCUCGCUCAGUGGUCCAGGCUGGAGUACAGUGGCAUGAUCUAGGCUCACUGCAAGCUCCACCUCCCAGGUUCAUGCCAUUCUCCUACCUCAGCCUCCUGGGACUACAGGCGUCCGCCACCUUGCCUGGCUAAUUUUUUGUGUUUUUAGUAGAGAUGGCAUUCCACUGUGUUAGCCAGGGUGGUCUUGAUCUCCUGACUUUGUGAUCCGCCCACCUCGGCCUCCCACCCUGCUGGGAUUACAGGUGUGAGCCACGGCGCCCAGCCGGU